AAGGGGGAGAAGGAGGGGAGGGAGAAAGAGAUAGAGACAGCAAGCAGGAAUGAGAUGUAAGAUAUGUCCUUUCAGGGAAAACUCCCAGGGAUGUACUUCUUCCAACUAGGUCUCAUCUCAAAGUUUCUGCCUCCUCAUGGCAGUGCUAACAGCUGGGAAUCAGGUCCAUAAGCACAAGCAUUUCAGAAUUAUUCUAAACCCAAACAACAGGCACCAGCCUAGAGAAGAAGCAGGCGACGAUGGACUCUUUGAUGGUGUGCAGGUGUAUAGUCCCAUAUGCUGUCUGAAAUAGGACUUGGACUUCUUUUCCCAUUCCCAAUUCAUACCCCGGCUCUCAGGAUGUCUGGUAAAACUCUCAGGCAGAGUGAUCUUACUAAAAACCAGUUUGUCUGUAUUCUCACUCUAACCUGCUUAAAGCAAGUUUAUCAGAAGCAACCUUGUUUAGGACUGACUCUUAAGUUCUCCUUGCGGCUAAGCAGACCUAUGUGAGAAGACCUCUCUGCUCCUGUCUAGAGAAUACUCUUUGUGCUACAGCUCCAGCAUCCUUUCUUGCUAUGCCUGGGACGCCAUGCCUGCAUUGGCCUGAAGAUUCCACACACAGGCUGGCUUCUGAACCCGCGGUGCUCAUUCUGAAUUUCCCGUCUCAUUUCUCAUUGCUUAUUCCUUUGUCUUUUUCAGACCACUUCUUCAGCGAGGCAUUCCCUAACCACAGUAUUGAAAUCCAGGAUCAUUUCCACUCUUCUUUCCUAGUUUAGUUUCUUCUAGGCAUGCGCAGUCAACAUUUGACGAUGCAUCACUGUCUUAGCCAUCUCCCUGUCAAUAGACGGUCAGCUCCAUGGGAACUGGGACUUCAUCUAGCUCAUCAUUGUUUCCUCAGUAACCAGAGAGAUGCUGGACUUAGAGUAAAUGUUAUUGAGUGAAUUAAUUUUGGGAUGUGAAGUUUGGGUACCAGAGGGGUAGAUUCAGCUGUAUGGAUAAAGGCGUUUACCAUUCAUCAGUAUGUGGCACCACAUAGCUCUACCCUUUCUUUUAUACUGCAAAGGGAUCUAUCUACUUAUUGCAAAUGGGGAAAUUUCACACACACACACACACACACACACACACACACACACACACACACACACACACACACACACACACACAGUGGCGGCCUUAACAAUAUGGUUUGUGGGAUGAUUUGUCCAAAUUCUUUCUUAUCAAGCUUUGUGUUUCAGUAGCCUCAUGACGGGACCUAGAGAUCUGGAGAACCUUCAGAAUAACGCGUAGGAGGGGCUGGGUGCCAAGCACAUUUGGCAGUUCCAUUCUUGGAGUUUGGUUCACAGCUUCAGGUCUGGCUUUUUUUGUGUUGUGUCAAGAGACUUGAGCCAGAAUUCUUUGGGAAUUCUUUGGGGGUAGGCAGCAGAGCCAGUCCCCAACAUCUUAGGCAGUCCUCCUUUAUGUGACGGGAGCCUGUGGACUACAGCUCUCUACUGGGUAAUGAAAAGAAAACAUUCUAAUAAGGACUUCCGUUUGCAACAUCUGUUUCAUUUGGGUAAUUUUAGAUGGCUAAAACCCACCUCACAGAACCAGGAGGGCUCCUAUCAUCUUACAAAUGAUUGCUUCAGUGUCUCUAAGCACCCGCCACCAUAAUUAAUAGAGUGAAAGGGUUGAGAAGAAAUAGGAGCCCAUUAAGCUCAGGAAGCUGCAUGCUUUAGGGCAAACUGACACAGUAGAAGACAGUGUAAUGGUUUUUCUCUCUUAAAAAAAGCCUCAAAUAAGUCUUUCUCUCUGUCUUUAAAAAAUACAUCAUAGAGAGUUUAAGCAUUUUAAUAUUUAGCUUAACCUUUCCUUAGCCAGAUUGCUUAAUGAAGCCCCAGCAAUUCCCAGAAGAGAAACAACCUCAUCCAAAGAACUUAACAAGGACAAAAAUUGAAUCUUGAAUAUACUAACCAAACCUCAUUGUUACUGAGACAUUCUCCCAGAGACAGCCGUUAAUAGAAAUUACUGUACUUUUAUUCAAAUUUCUUGAUGGUAACACGAGAAACAUUAGCAGUCACUAAUUGUUCUGCAUAGAGGAUGAAAUUGGAGGCCCUGGUGAGUACUUUUCUGCUUUUUACCUCUCUCAGUCAUUUCUACCCUUCUAGCUAGAGCUUAAUAGAUACAUGUUGAAAUAAAAGGAUGCCAGGAAAUGCAGACCUUAAUGGAAAAUGGGAAGUAUAUAAGCCAUGGGUUUGGAAGAUGGGGAGCCUCCCCCCCCCAUCCAACAAAGUUUGCUCUAUUUUUAAUAUAAAAAACAAAGCCCUUGAACGGAAAAGCAAGAAUCUAUGUGAACUCAAGAAUAGUCUAAAUGGCUCUUUGUGGAGUCUAAUUCCUACUUGUGCAGCUCCAUGUGGUAAAUAGAACACUUUGACAUGCAUUAUCUCGUUCAGUCCUCAAAAUAAUCCCUUCUGAACUGAAGCUCCAGGCUUCCCUCAGACCCAGAAAAUGUUUUCAAAUACUUUAUUGUUGCCCGGAGCUUGAUGCUGCUGCAAAGUGAGGAUGGAAAGCUAUUUGGCUGUUUGGUCAUCAGGGCCUUUCCAGUGGAAUGCUCUGUGGGUUUUGGUCAUCCAACAUUUCAGCCAGGUGUCCAGGUAGAAACCUUGGUUUACUAGGAUACAUUUUUGGGGGUGUUGAUAUGCUAAAGUGACAUAUUUCUCCAUGCUAGUGUAAUCAGAAGAAGAAACACUAUAUUGUGCUGGCCAACAGCUUUUGUUUCUUGAUGUGGUGACAGGAAAAAGGGUUAUUUCUUGCUUGGAAAGGUGACCUCAAAUCCAGAGGACUUGCUGGGAAUACUUCAGUCAUGUCAGGUGAAGGGUGUUCCAUAUGGAAAGACAUUUGGUCACAUUGAAGAGGUUUGUGUAAAAGAGUCAUGCCUUCUCUACUCCUUUUUAAAGAAAAAUAUUUUUAGAACUGGAGGGAUGGCUCAGCGGUUAAGAGCACUGACUGCUCUUCCAGAGGUCCUGAGUUCAAUCCCCAGUAUCCACAUGGUGGCUCACAACCAUCUGUAAUGGGAUCUGAUGCCCUCUUCUUGUGUGUGUGAAGACAGUGUACUCUCAUACAUAAAAUAAAUAAACCUUAUAAAAUUAUUUUUAAUAAUUCCUUUUCUCCCUUGAUUUAUUUAUUUAUUCAUUUAACUUCCCAAUGUAAGUACCCCCUUCUUCUCCCAGUCCCUCCUCACACAGAUCUUUCUACCCUGGUCCUCUGAGAAGUCUAUCACCCCUAUACCUCUGCAGGACUAGUGACAUCCUCUCUGAUGCCAGAUAAGGUGGCCCAGUCAGGGGAAUGAGAUCUAUAGGCAGGCAACAGAUUCAGAGACAGCCCCCUGAUGUCCCUCAACCGACGAAUGGAUGAAGAAAAUAUGGUUCAUUAACACAAUGGGAUACCACUCGGCUAUUACAAAAAAACAAGGACAGCAUGAAUUUUGGAGGCAAAUGGAUGGAAUACGUCAUCCUGAGUGAGGUAACCCAGGUCCAAAAGGACAUGCAUAAUAUGUGCUCACCAAUAAGUGAAUAUUAGCCAUGAAGUAGAAGAUAAAACCAUACUCCAAUCCACAGAUCCAAAGAAGCUAAGUAACCAGGAGGGCCCAAAGGAGGAUGCUUGAAUCUUUCUUAGAAGGGGAGAUAAAAUAGAUAUCGGAAGUGGAUGGAGGGAUGGAAUUGGAUGGGAGACGGGAUGGGGAGGGGAGCGGAGCGGUGGUGGGUAGUGAUCAGAUGUACCAAGAGUUCAUACUUUUAAUGAAACGCUUUGUUCUGAGAAUGACGGGCAUCACUUCCAUUUACCCAAACACAGAAAUGUAAUCUAUUUAUGUGCCAGGGAGAGGAAAGCCAGGUGUGGAUGGCUCGGGAUGUCUGCCUUCUGCAUAAGUUCUUUCUUUUACCAAUCACCAUACAAACAUUAAGUUCAGAGCUUUAACCUGGUAUAGACGUAGACAAACCGGUCAAGGCCUCUGGCUUUCCUCUGCUCUCUACCUUUCGGUGUUUGCUCUGUGAAGAUGGAGGCCACUCCUAUAUAGAACAACGUCCAAUUCCCAGUCUUCUGGGAACAGGCAGUGCUGAUUGCCAGAUGGUUCCGAAGCACCCGGUGUAGUCAGUAAACUUAGCAGAUGAAAGAAAUUGGCCUGGCUGCUUUGGCAGUGUUUAGAAUGACAAACUAUUUGGUGAUCUGUAGUAUUCGUUACCUGGUGUAUCAAUGAUCACUGAACAAUACUUUGUGGUCAUGGCCUUUCCUCUGUGGAUCCUUGAAAAUGGCAGCCAGUGAGAGGAGGAAGAGGAAGAGGUCGGAGGAGGAGGAGGAGGGGGCAAAAAGGAUGAAAAAAAAACCCAUAGGUGGCACCUGCUGGUUUAUGGCUUCAUUCCUGUAACCCAAAUUUUGUCUCCCACAGCUGUGAGUUUUGGUCUUCACAUUUUCUUACUUCACCAAAGGAGAAUUGGUUAGCUCCACUUGCCAGCGAACCUCCCUUUUGGUGGCCUUGUCUAAAUCGUGGUGAUGCCACGAGUCUGCUGCUCUACACUGUGAGACAGGCAUAAGAACCCCAGGGUUACUUGCAACACUCAAAAUUCCAGAUAUCCAGACAUGAGCCAGGGUUGUGCAGCCUAAGAAAUAAGACUUUUAUAAAGAAUUUCAGUCUGCUCUGACGCUUGCUGGCAGGAAGGGUGCGCUGAACUGAAUGAAAGAACACGGAUUGGUUGUGGAAUGGUCAGAAUCUUGUCGUGAAUUCUGAGCAGCCCUAAAAAAAUAUCCUCAUUGAUUUGUAAUUUCUUCAAUAUCCUCUAUAAAGGGCUUGGGGAACAGACUUCGUAGUAAACACACAAUAGGCUUUCCCACACUGCACUACUAGAGGUGGCUGUAAAUUCUCUAAAUGCUCUUUACAAGGGCGUUAAGCCUUUCUCCUAGUUAAUAUUAAAGGCUUUCCACCCACCCCAUUUACUAGUGCCCUUUAGGAUUGUGGAAAAGAACAGUUGGCCCUCAAUGAGAACAAUGGAGAGCAAGUUGAAUGAAUCCCAGAAUGGCGUAUUUUACUUGAAAAACAUGCAUUAUGCUCUUUCCCAAGUAAACUGCAUAGAAAAAUGUAAAUGAGGCACAAAGCGCUUAUGAAUUAGGCCCUAAGCGUUUCCUUUUUAGCAUAUAAACUGCCACUAAGGCCGUGAUAGGAGUGCAUUUUCUACUAUUUUUCAAACUGUAAUUACGUUUCCCGAGUAAAACCCAAAUGCUCGCUAUGGUCCUGUUGCAACUGCACAAGACAGGUAAUAAUUGGAAAAUUCAAAGCAGAGACUUAUCUCCUAAAUGCUAAAAGGUGGGGCCCCUCACACUGUACAGAAGAGUUGACAUUAAAUAUCAAACUGAACCCGGCGAUUCUCCGUGAUGUUAAUUUUGCAUCUGGAAACGCGUUUCCAAGCUGCAACACCUUUAAGAAUAUAUCAGAAUAAAGGACAAGUGAUAAUUCCGUCCCCAACCUUCAUCCUUAAACAGCUUAUAAUCUCCAUCCAGCAUCCAACAUCCUCCCCUCCCCCAUACUUAACUCUGUUCAGGUUGGAGUAGGAUGUAUUUAAGUUCCAGAGAAGCAAAUUAACUUAUUUAAAUAGUAUUGGAAUUAAAUGAAGUCCCAAAGAGCAACUGGAAAGCUUUGUUCAGUUGUGCACCUAAGGACCACAGAAGAGGGCACACUAAAAAAGCUUGUAUAGAGAAUUGAAAAGAUUUGAACACGCUCCUUCCACCUGUCACCACACUGAGGCAACAUUUUAAAAAUGAUGCCAUUCUAUUUGGUGAUUCAAUGGACAACACUAGUUUAAGGAUGUAUGUAUCUACACAAAGGAGAACAAAAGAAAAAACACACUUCUUAAGACUCGGUGGGAAAUAACGACUCUCUAGAGGAGGACAAUGUAAGCUAUGAAGUUUCCACAUGCAGAGUGUACAACAGCUACGGGAAAACAUAGGCUUUCAACUUAAAGGCAAGGCUCGUCACCCUCAGGUGUGUGGGCUCCCAUUCCGGGAUCUUGCAACAGUGAGAGCUCAGAAGUGAUUUCUGAUAGGAUCUCCCUCAAAAUCCUCAGCCUGACUUUGCACUUUCAGUAUGAUGUUUUAUGGUGUGUGUGUGUGUGUGUGUGUGUGUGUGUGUGUGUGUGUGUGUGUGUGUAAGCCAUGUCCCACAAUCCUUUGAUGACUGCUCAUCUAUCUACACUUGACAUUUGCAAAGGUUUCAUCCGGACAGCACUCCUCUUGUUUCUGUGCCUAUCAAAAGAAAUAACAGUUGUUGCCUUUCUCUUCUCAUUAACAUGUGCAUUUGUCUGCAAAGGCUUUUCUGCAGCUCAGCUUUGCAAACCUGACUUAGGGUUACCGUCUCCAUUUGUAUUGAUCAACUUCAGAUGCAUGAAGACGUGUAAAACUACAGGAUAAUUGUAACCCACAAACUAGGGUGUAUUCUGUAUCCUCCAGUAAAGCCAGAAACAUCUGCAAUGUUUCUAACAGCAGACAAUGUCUCUUCCAAUAACUGGCCAAGGAAUAGCAUAGAAUUGGACUUGGUCAUCCGGCAGAUUUCAGAUCUCUGCUCUAACAUCUAUGGGCAAUCUUGAACGUAUGCCCUUCGAAUGGAUGUUCCAUGUGUAUGGGCAAAAUUAAAGAUGCACUUCUUUGGGUGGACUGACUGCUGUGUAAGCUAGAUGCCUAUUAGCCCAGCUGUCUAAUGGUUUACAUACAAAAGAAAGCCAAGUUUUCAGUUAUGGUAUUUGAUAGUGACUAGUGCUCUCUCUCUCUCUCUCUCUCUCUCUCUCUCUCUCUUUCUCUCCCCCCCCCCACCUCGGUUAACAGAUGCCCCAUCUUCUCCAAUAUAAAUUGCAUAGAGCAGGGCUAGCCAAUAUUUUCUCAUUAUUCUUCUUUCCCUCAGGAUGAGAGCUAAAUUAAUUAAAUGCAAUUAAUUUAAAUUAAUUAAUUUAGUUAAAUUUAACUUCCCUCCAAUGGAAGACAUUAAAUCUAGGAAGAUCUUGUCAGUUUGGGAAGGACCCAAACCACUGUAACAGAUCAGCUUUGUUUGUUGCUUUCAUAGGCCACCAUGUCCCCCUACUGGGAGCCUUGGUUCCCUUCUUUAUCCCUUUGCUGGAGGUUGCCAUCUCUUAGCUCACUAGAAAGGGAAAGGGGAAGGGAGGAGCACACCUGGGAAGCCCUGAUGGUCCGGAAUAAGAGAGGAAGGACUGAUAUUGGUUUGUAAAGUGAAUGAAUGAAUGAAUAAAUGAAUAAAUAAGUAAAUAAAUUAAUAAGUGUAGAAGAUACUUCUGCAUAUAUUCGUGGUUCAGACUUUGGUCACAUGGUCACCCCUAACUCAGGAACACUGGGAAAUGUAGUUAGUUGCAUUUCCUGAGUUAGAAAGACUAGUACUUUCACAAUAGCAAGUGGUUUGUUGUUUCACGUCCUCUGUAGGGAUGCUUGUGGGGAUUUGUUUAACCCUUUAUUAGACUGAAUGUUUAGUGAUAUGAGUGCUAUUCUGUAAGGACUUAACAUGAUCUGUCGCAAUUGGUCUAUGUUGCAAAGAGACAAGGCAGAUGUCAGCUCUUUAUCACUUAACAUAUGAGAGAAUGAGAGAAGUCUUAGAGAUCAAAGUUGCUUUAGUAGUCGUGUAGACUUAUCCAUCAUGAAUUCCUUCUGGUGCCUUCUGAGUAAAGGAGAGGUAGUAUGUGUCCUUAUGUCUUUAGUUUCUCAAAAGCUUCUAUUUAAGCAAAAAAUUGUAUCUUCGGGUCACCCUUCUUAUUAGCUGCUUUGCUCUCCAGAAUUUUGUACUUUUCAGUGUAUUCAAUACAUUCAGCUUUGGGUGUUUAAAAUCAAAUGAAUAUCAACUGUCAUGGCACACCUGUAAUCCCUCAUUUUGGAGGUAGAGGUAGGGAGCUCAGGAGCUCAAAAUCAUCCUUGUCUACAGAGUUUGAGACCAGCUUUGGCUGCAUGAGAUCCUGCCUAAUUACAUAUUUGUUAUUGUGUUCUAGCCUCUGUCUAGAGAGUGUAUACAUCUAGUGGGUACUGAAUGGUUGUAGAAAAGGUAAGAAUAGGUAAGGAAAACAAGUACUGUCAAUGGAGACAAAUGAACUAUAUUAAAUAGGCAGUGCAUGGGUUCAAAGAACAAGCAGAAAGGUUAUCCAACACUGCUGAGGGUGGCAUGAAGGAGAAAUAACUUCAUGGUUAAGAACUGAAGAAUGUUAAGAAUUUAGUUAUCAAGGAAUGGUGGGGGCUUUCUGGUAAAGACAGUAGCAGGUUUGAGGUAUGUUGAUGAAAGCUUGUCAAACUAUGACAACAUUCUGGUGGUCUGAAUAUGCUUAGCCCAUGAGAACUGAUACUAUCAGGAGGUGUUAUUGGAGUAGGUGUUGCCUUGUUAGAGGAAGUGUGUUACUGUGGGGGUGGGCUUUGAGUUCUUUAUGCUCAAUCUCUGCCCAGUGUGGAAAGAGACCCCUCUCCUGACUACCUGAAGACGACAGUCUCCUUCUGGCUGCCUUCAGAUCAAGAUGUAGAACUCUUGGCUCCUCUAGCACCAUGUCUGCUUAUAACACUGUUAUGCAUCCCACCAUGAUAAUGAUGGACUGAACCUCUGACACUGUAAGGCAGUCCCAAUUAAAUGCUUUCUUUUAUAAGAGUUUCCUUGGUCAUGGUGUCUCUUCACAGCAAUGAGACCCUAAAACAGGUACUGUGUAUCAAAUGCUCACAUCUGCCUGGAAUCUAAGUAUGGGACCUUCUUUGGAGGAAGGGUCCUUGAAGGAGUUGAAGAAGCAAGUGAAGAUAUUCUUCUGGGAAAUUUAGGGAGAUCACAGCUACCGACACCUUGAUCUUGGACAUUUGAUCUGUAGAACUAUGGGAGGAAACAUUGUGUUGUUUUCAUAAACCUAGUUGGUGGUUAUCUAUUAUAGAAGCCUUCAAAUCUAAUGCUUGAGAUGUUAUUCAAAUGUGGAGGAGUGAUGAUAGGUAUAUGUCUUAUGAAUUGUUUGGAUCUUUAACUGGUUCACUGGAUAAAAUAGACCUUUCCAUGAUUUCUAUAUAAGCUGAUGGUGGACACCUAUGCUCAACUGAAUACUUCUUGAUAGUACUUCACAUUACUAUUCUAUUGAACCGGCCUACUUUCAGAACUGAGCUGUAUAUCAAUUGUGUUUUCUUCCAAACUCAUUCUUUCUAAUGUACUUGUAAUUUUGCAGUACCAUUGUAACACAUAGCUAAUGGAUAAAUUAUAACUAUGGAAGGAGUUAUUGCUCUCAAAAAUAACAAAAUACUUUUAGAAAGACUGGAAGGUGAUUAAAAAUUAUAAAAAUAAAGGGAACUUUGUAGUUAAAGUGCUCAUGUGUCAUAAUGUUUUAGACAUGUUUAGAAAAUUGAAACUAUUCUUUGUAAGGGAGGUAUUCUGAGAGUGCUUUAUAUAAAAGAGCUUUGAGGACAUUUGGCCAAUGGCUGCUGGCUGGCUUACACAUCAGAGAUGAUGUCUGUGUUUGACAUUUAAAUAAACUAUUUGUGAUAUGUGCUUUUUAUAGUUUUCUGCUUGAAUCACCUUUUGUACUCCUCUCUCUUUUUUUUUCUGGUGACAUUGGAUGAGAACCUUUCUAGUGCAGAUUGGUAAAAUGAGCGUAGGCAGGACUGUGAACAAAUCCCUCCUCGGGGCUUAUGGGAGCUUCCUUCCAGAUAUGAUUACUAUGGAACAAAUUUCUUUCUCACUUGACACAUGGCUGUUUGGCUUCAGACAUGGAGUUUCAGUUCUCAGUGCCCGAAAUUCUGGAAUAGAACUCACGUUUCCUCUAUACAGAGCGUCAUAAGUGAUAUCUUAUUUUCUUAUUUCCAAGGCCUGACCUUUCUGUCUACCUUAGCUUAUAGAGGUUGCUAUUGGCAGCAUCAGAAAUGGAGCACAGGAAAGAUUCUUUUCUGACCCUAUAUCAUAGUCAUGGUGUGCUGUACCAAGACAAAGGAACUAUAAGUGAGAAGAUGUGGUAGAAACUGCUGUUCUCUCUCUGUCUGUCUCUCUGUCUCUCUGUCUCUCUGUCUCUCUCUCUCUCUGUCUCUCUCUCUCUCUCUCUCUCUCACACACACACACACACACACACACACAUUUUUCUUCUUUGGCUUUGUCUCUGUCUCAUCCUUUUCCUCUCUCUCUCUCUCCUCUUCCAUUUCCUCAUUUGCUUCUCUGUCUCUGUCUUCCUCUCUCUUUCUCUUCCUCUCUCUUUCCUCUACCAUUUCCUUCUCUGUUUGUCUUUGUUUCUCUGUCUCUGUCUCUCUCUCCGUGCCUCUCUCUCUCUCUCUCUCUCUCUGUGUGUGUGUGUGUGUGUGUGUCCUCACUUUAAAUUUUGUGAUCCUUGAGGCAAAGCCCAAGGCUUUGUGUCUUUCAUGCACGUGCUCUACCCCAGCCCUGCUCUUUGGUUUGUGUCUUCUGCCCCCUUCUCUUACUUCUUAAGCACAUGCUUCAAAUUCACAUUCUAAUCUCUAAUCAAAUGCUAUCUAUUUGUAUGUUGGAGUAGUUUCUAUGCUUAUCUCUACUAUAUUUGGGUUUCAGAUUAUUUAUUUUUUGAAUAAAUGUGAGUAUUUAUGUAAGUUUUCUGGAUGCAAACCAAUUGAUUAUUGGGAAUGUAUGAAAUUUGGCAAAUGAGCCAUGUUGUAAGGAAAUGGGUCAAGUGGUAGCAUAGUUUAACUUGGGUUUGAAAUUUUGUGAUAGAUAACUCAAGAAUAAAUAGUUAGAAAAUUAUUCAUCAAUUCGCAACUAUUGUGAAUAAACUACCACAUGCCUUCUGAUAAAUACAAACAGGACCAAUACCAUCCAUCACCUUCUACAGUUUUUUUAUAGAUACCUUUCUUGUCUGAGAACAAAACUAAGAUUACCAGUAUUGGUAGUUUUCAGCCUUAUAAUAUCAUCAGGGUACUUACUAGCUCAUACAUGGUCACAUCAGAGAAGAGAGUGAUUGAAGUUCAGGUAGUAAGAUCAAUGAAUGGUCUUUUUACAUGUACAAUACCCAGACAACCAUCCAGAAGCAUAUAAAAUGCUUGGAUAUAGCUCUUUGAGUUAGACUAGUAUGUUGUAAAGAACAUGAUAGACACAAGACACAGAUGCGAUCACCAGUCUCAGCUGUGCAAGUACCGGCUCUAUGACUUCCGGUAGAAGUCUCAUAUCCUUCUAGUUGGGUGAGGUGAUGCCUACUGUCUGCUGCCAUUGUAAAAUACUCAUUUACUAGGGAACUUUCAAGGCUGUUUGAAGGACUCACUGCACCCUUUAUAGACUUUCUUAGAUACUUCAUUACCUUUGCCACAUAGCAUGAUAUUUGAAGGAUAGUUUUGUAGUGGAGACAUAUGAUCCAAUCUUCCUCCUUUCAUACCGUUAGUGCUCCUGUUAGAAGGCAGAGGCAAGAAAAAGCCAUGAUUUGCUUACUGAUUUGAAAAAUAGAGGAAAUCAGAAGUGUUUGGCUUGGGCUAGCAUGACCAAGAAAGAAAUAAAGUCCACCAAGGAGCAUGUGGGGUGUUGCAUCCAACCCAGGUCCAUAGUGUACAGAAUGAGCCACGCUUUCUGUCUGUAAGAAACUAGCAGAAGACACAGACACAUAAUAACAUAUGAGGGGUCUGGAUAUUGAAGCAGGAAGAGCUGAAUAUUGGCCAUCACCAUUAGAGAUCCAAUGGGAAUAGGGAGGGGAGAGUAUUGUUUCCUCAGAGAGUCGAUGGAUGAAAGAAUUAUGAGCAGACUUCUUGAGUAUAAAGAUUUCCCAACAACUUGAGUGAUGUAUCACUAGAAGGUGAACCUUUGAGAGGAGAGAAAUAUUUACACAUGUAUGUUGGAAUCUGGCCUGACAGGAGGUGAUUUCUGGCUUGCUGUUAGCCAUGUAAACUGUGUGAUAGUCCUUUCAUCUGAGCCAACAGCUUACUUCUACUAUCAUCAUCCUGUAGAAGACCACCAAAUAGAUUUCAUAUCCUUCAAUAACCCAUACUCCUCCAUUCCCACACUAACAGAACAAUAAGAAUAUUUUGGUGAAAGAGGAGUGAUUGUCUCCAUGAUCAUUAAUACUCCUAUUGAAGAACCACUAUUAUCUAUAAUAGAACAUGUGACCUUAAAUCAGGACAAUGGACAUAGAGGAAGUCCAAGAGAACCUCAGUCUUUAUUAAAUACUGGACCCAGUGACUUCUGGAAUGGGGCACACAGAAAUGUAGUUUGCAUAGAAGAUAGCAGUGGCAGCAUUUGCUUCGAAGUGCUAAGAUGAGUUUUCCUCCGAGGUACUGCCUGUAAGCUGUGUGACUCCAUGGCAACAUUUACAAGACAGAAAUGUGAUCACGGACAAUUCUGCUGCCCUUGAUGGUAACAUGCUGGCAGUGAUUGGAGCAGGAUUUGCCAAGCACACAUUGACCCUCUGAGUCACAGUGGUUCCCAUGGAGAUUAACACCAUCAGCUGCGGGGACAGCAGCCCAGAAUUGCGAUUGGUGUUAGACAGAAAGGAGAAAAAUGGCAGCAUGGUACUCUAGAAAUGCAGCAAUUGGGAUGAAAAAGGAGGGUGGGGUGGCAUAGCUCAGGAGAGAAAAUGCUUUGUAAUUGCAUAGCAACCGAUUCCUCUAGCUCUUCUUGCAAAUGGCUGGGCAGAAAAGUGUGCUUCCUGGCAGAUAGGCGACGAUCUACUUUUAUUUAUCUGUUUUUUUCCUGCAAACUUUCUUCUCAUCCUUGAUAGCUUAUCUCCCUAAUGGAGUGAGUCUGGGGCCACAGAGUCCCUACUCUGGCACUGUAAAGAGUGAUUUAUACACUGGGACUGAGGCGUUGGAAGGACACAGAUCACUUUUCUUGAUGGGUUUAAAUGUUCUUUCUGUAUUACAAAAAAAUAAUCCCUUUAUUUUUAUUUGAAGAAAAGAAUGCCUUCAAUUUUACUUUUCAUGCAGUUAUUUCAUGUAUAUUAAUAGGGACCCCGCCUCUCCGAGAAGCAAUAUCUUUUAGCUUUGGGAAUUGUAGUGAGGGUAUGUGGUUUAUCCUAUCCUUAGCAACCGAGUCUAGCUGCCUAUGCCCUUAUGAGCUGCAAAGGUCAUCUUUUGGGUACCCGACUCUAUAUCCUUUUUGGCAUUCAGAAAGAGGAAAGACUCUAGUGAUGUAUGCGUUUUCCCAAUUCUCUGCCUGUGAAUCCAGCUCAGAUCAGAUGAAUCGGGGACUAUAAGGUGAGGAGUAAUUUUUUUCCUAUUUCUUUCAUAUCAGCAGUUGUGGAAAAAUACCCAUUAGUUGCUGAUUGAUCAAACAGAGAUAAGAAGGAGAACUGGUUCCUAGAAAAAUCAGACUCAAUAGUUUCAAAAGCUGAAGCGACAACCUGCGAAGCUGGAAAAGAAGGAAGAUAAUGGUUUUCUAAGAAAUGCAAUGUAGUUUUGGAGAAAAUUAGCAUUAAUGAGAUACCUAGAGAUUGCAAACAUGCUGCUAUUCUUUUUAGUGUUAGUUGUGGGAGAUUGCAUUUUCUAUGGCGAGCCAGUUUGUACAGAAGGAAGUGAGUCAGGCGGGGUGUGGCUGCAGUCUUAGCUGGACCAUCAAUUAUGAUUAUUGGGCAGUUUACUGGGCCUCAGUUUACUCAUUUCUAAAAUGACCCACACAAUCUCUAAGUAUUGAAGAAUAGUGUUUUGUAUAGCAUGAAUGACUGUGAGGACAUAACCGUGUUGUGGCUUUUGUUGUUGUUAUUGUUGAUAUUACUGUUGCUGGUGUAAUUGAUAUUGUUGGUGUUGGUCUUGUUAUUGUUGGUGAUGGUGUUAUUAAUAUUGUUGGUGUUGGUCUCGUUGGUCUUCUUGUUAUUGGUGGUGAUGCUGUUAUUGAUAUUGUCAGUGUUGAUGUUAUUGGUGUUGUUGUUGUUGGUAUUGCUAUUUGUACUAUUGUUGACAUUGGUGAUGUUCUGCGCAUAUUUUGCCACACGAGUCUCCUAAGACUAGCCAUGGUCCCCUGGAGAUUCAAGAAGAGCUGAGGUUCUUGCUUGAGCCUUAAAGGAAGCAAAGACUAAUGUCUUAGCUCAACUCAAAUUCGUCUAGCAAGAAGUGCUCUGACAUGAGGGAUACCCAGUUGUUUUGUCCUAGUCAGACUUUCAAUACAUUGGACAUGUCCCACAUCAAGGAGGUUAAUUUCAAAAUCUUAGUUUCACUUGGAGAAACCCUUACAAAUACACUCAGAAUACUGUUUGAUCAAAUACCCGAGCUCUUCAUGGCACAGCCAUGUCAACGCACAAAAGCAAUCACAAAAAUAUGAUUCAUAAAGGAUCAUAACUCCUUAUUUACAAAUUCCGUGGUUCUGCGAAGGAUGCGAUAUUAUAAAAAGUGAUUUGCAGAAAACCCCAGGAAGCUCCGUGUCAUGGGAAAUGAUUUGAAAGCAGAGAUUUAUACUUUAGGAAUGUGUGCUCCCCGUUUUCUUCCUAAGGACACCUCAUCUUGUUUCACUGCACCGUGGUUACCACACAGGCAACCCAGGAUAGUGCUCAAGCUUCCAGGUCAUAAUUCCAUGUCUUUGCCUCCUGUUAGCUGUUUGACCUUAGGGGAGUCAACAGACCUGUUUGUGUUUUAUUUUCUUAUCUGUGAAAUGCCUCUUGUGAGGCUCACUCACAGCAAUGCCUGGGAAGUACACAAAUGACACAAGGCACAUACUUAGUAAUGAUCACAUACACAUGUAUGUGUUAAUGGAAACUUGAAGAUUUGAGAUGGUAAGUAACACUUUUAUAAAUAGAUCUGCCAUGAAAGUUACCAGAAACUAUCUUUAGUUACUAGUACUUCAAUAACUGUCAGAUCAGCUUUGGCUUUUAUUUUCAAGUCUUCCUUUAAAAGUGAUUGUGUGCGUGCGUGUCUUAGUUAAGAUUUUAAUGUUUUGAGCAAACAUCCUGGCCAAGGCAACUCUUAUAAGGACAUUUAACUGGGGCUGGCUUACAGGCUCAAAGGUUCAGUUCAUUAUCAUCAAGGUGGGAGUAUGACAGCAUCCAGGCAGACAUGGGGCUGGAGGAGCUGAGAGUUCCACCUCUUGUUCUGAAGGCUUCUAGGAGAAGACUGACUUCCAGACUGCUAGGACUAGGGUUUCAAAGCCCAUGUCCACAGUGACACAUUUCCUCCAACAAGGCCACAUCUAAUAGUGCCACUCCCUGGACCAAGCAUAUUCAAACCACCAGUGUAUGUGUGUGUGUGUGUGUGUGUGUGUGUGUGUGUGUGUGUGCAUGUGUGUGCAUGUUUAAUAGAUGAUCAUGAUUGAGCAUCGAUUGAGAUAUGAGUGCUUAGCUAUAGAUGAGUCUUCUCCCAUCAAAGGCUCUGGGAACAUUCUGGAAGAGGGAGAAUAAAGAAUGUCACAACCAGCAGAGGAGGAGAGAACUGUGAAAUGCUAACUUCUGAAGGGAUGACUGUCACACACAGCAGCUGUUGUUGCUGCACAAGAUCUGGACAGAAUUUGGUAAGUCACAAUUCCAAUAUGAAUGGGAAGAAGACCUAGGACUCGCCCCUACUGGAGGAUCUAUUAACAGUUGAUGGCUGCUGAGGGAAGGGAGUACCACUCUCUUUUGGGGAAGUAUCCAUUGGUAUGUUGAACAUUCCUUGGUGGAUGACCCCACAUACAUGUUCAUAUGUGGAGCACUAACUAGACUCAGGGGAUUAUAAGAAGCAAUAAAAAACAACAACAUGAAUUUGGGGAGGAGACAGAGUGGGAGAGGCAGUAGAGAAAGUUGGAGGGAGGUAGGGAUGAAUGAAUAUGACUAAAAUAAUGUCGUAUAAAUAUAUGAAAAACCAAACAAAACAAUGACACCCCAACAACUCUGGAACCAAAAAGGAACCUUCUUUACUAAUGAACACUGAUGCCACCUUCUGCUCACCAGAUGACACAGUGCUCUUGUAGUUGGUUGCAAAGUUCAGUGACCCCGGGGGAAGUCAGGAUUUUGACCAGCAUCCAAUCAUCAGGUCUCCCUGCAGAGAGCACCAAGUCCAAUGCUUCUAUACAGUCAAGGUCGGGUCUCCAGUUUCUGCUUGUGGUUUCUUAGAAAUUGCACACAUGCUAAAGACACUGCUGUUUUUAAUUGCCCUGCCAUCACUUUACACCAAUCUGCAGUUGACCUUUCAAGGACAGAUUUUGUUUAUUGCUCCUUUCAGUCAAAGAGAUGCAGAAUUGUCUAAUAGAAUUGUCUAAUCGUCUAUCUCUUUAGACAGCCAGGAAGCCUUUUUUAAAAUUUACAGAAAAUACUAGCUUCUUCUGUCUCCUGGAGGUGGUAGCUUGGGUUAGACUGCAUUAGGUCAAAAUAUUCACCUUCAGUGUGUUUUGUCCUUUUCCACAUUUAUUGUAGGUGUUAAGGACCUUCCUAUGACCUGCCACACUCUUACCUGUUUGUUCCCACUCCUCAUACAACUUCUUGUCAUCAUGGAGCCCUGGAUCACCCAUAUUAGUAGUGAUAUCCUUCUAGAAACACAGACUCCCAACACAUCACUUUGAGGAAGCAUUGUCUUGACAGAAUAGCACAUUUAAUCCUGAGUUCAGAUCUCUGACACUGAGGUAAAGUCCUUUGCCCACAGGUUUUUUUACCUGUUAAUUUUUCUAAUGGUCUAUAAUAUUUUUGCAGGAAAUUUGUAUCAUGAGAACAUCAUUUAUAAGACUAAUGAAUUCAAUGAAAGUGUUGCCAUGAGUAUUUGUACCCAUUGGUCCACCUCACCAAUGAAUUCCAAGGUCUGACUGAGUUUGUCUUUGUGACUUGGUGUACAGCUCACCACCUCUCUUUGGCACCAUGGCAAGGGAAGAACUGAAUUGUCUUUUCUUGGGCCACGGGAGACAGCAAGGCAUGGACAUUCGUGUUAUGACAACCCUAGGGAACUGUAAUAAUCCAGAUGACCAGAGGCAUCCCCCACACCGCUGCGACCAUUUCAGCAUGGCAGGAAGGCAUGGGACAGCCACAAUAAUGAUCCUUGCAGGUAGAAGCUCGGGGAACAUGAGACUGUAGACGAAAUAAAGGCGCUGCGUUUUCUUGGGUAAAAUGUCUCGUGGAACUUUCACACUACGCUGGCAUUUCCAGGAAAUGUAGAAACGAUCUGUACAAACAACUUCUCAGUCCAUCCCAGGGAUUCAAGAUGGGCAGCCUGUGCCAGAAUCCUUUGGUCUUAAGUCUACAUGUGCAGACCGACGAGAUCAAAUGCGGUUUCUUUAAAAAUGCAAUCGAAAAAGAAAAAGGAGCAAUUUCAUUCAGCAAGGAAAUUGUUUUAUUGUUCAAUAAACCAUAAUAUUUAGAUUGA